GGCGACGUAGCUCAGGGGUAGAGCAGGGGUCUCAUAAGCCCUGUGUCGUGGGUUCGAAUCCCACCGUCGCCA
rnacentral:tRNA from 1 species